UUGUAAACCUGGGUGACAGAUGGUUCUGUUGUUCGUAACAAUGGAGAAAAGAAGUGAAAAGGUUUAACCUUGAUUUAGGAGGAACUACCUCUAAACACAAACAGAAUAGUUCAGUCUCCAUGCCCAUUCAGUCCGUGGCCUCU
rnacentral:sRNA from 1 species